rnacentral:rRNA from 1 species
AUGCCUAUGAGCAGUGGGCCUUUGUAUGGCUCUGCGGUGCCGAGCCAGCAGGGAGACCACUCGGGCCUCGCCGCGGCGCCGAUUCCGUCGCCGACGUUGGGCGUCGAGCUUGACGGUGCUCAGGAAAUGACCACCAACAACAAGCGGAAGCGCGAGGAGCAGUCGGCGGCGGCGUUUGGCGCGGCCCAGGCGCAACAGCAGCCAAUGGUCGUCGACCGCAGCCUGCGCAACGAAGCGGAAAGGUUUUGUAAUACUUUGGAGGAGGAGAUGCGGAGGCAUGAGAAGCUCAUGCUCUCGACCGUGGAGGCCAUGGUGGAGAAGCGGCUCUUGGCCAAGGACCAGGAGAUCAUGCACAACUGGGGCGUGAACUGUGCACUCGGGGAGCGCCUCAAGACCCUCUACAUGGAGGCGGAGGCGUGGCGCAUGGACGCGCAAUCCAAGCAGACCGAGGCCAACGUGCUCCGCGCCGAUCUAGAGCGGGCGCUUGCCCAGCAAGCGGUCCGUUACCAUGGCAGUGGCAGCGCUGAAGGUGAAGGUGAGGAGGACGCCGAGUCAUGCUGCUGGGGGGACUACCACGCGGCAUUCUGUGGGGGGGAGGAGGUGGAGACCCCGGUAGUGGAGCCUCCGGUGACAGGAGCCGGAAUGUGCAAGGGGUGCGGUGAGAACACGCCGGUGGCGGUGUUACUGCCGUGCCGGCACCUCUCCGUCUGCGGGACAUGCGCGGAAGCAUUGUCGGGGUGCCCAUCGUGCGGAUGCGCCACGCAGGGCAGCAUCUACAUCAACUUCUCGUGA